GUGCCAGCAGCCGCGGUAAUACCGGCAGCCCAAGUGAUGGCCGCUGUUAUUGGGCCUAAAGCGUCCGUAGCUGGCCGCACAAGUCCGUCGGGAAAUCCGCCCGCCCAACGAGUGGGCGUCCGACGGAAACUGCACAGCUUGGGACCGGAAGGCUCGAAGGGUACGGCCGGGGUAGGAGUGAAAUCCUGUAAUCCCGUCCGGACCACCGAUGGCGAAAGCACUUCGAGAAAACGGAUCCGACAGUGAGGGACGAAAGCCAGGGUCUCCAACCGGAUUAGAAACCCUAGUAGUC
rnacentral:rRNA from 1 species